UACGGAGGAUGCGAGCGUUAUCCGGAUUUAUUGGGUUUAAAGGGAGCGCAGACGGGAGAUUAAGUCAGUUGUGAAAGUUUGCGGCUCAACCGUAAAAUUGCAGUUGAUACUGGUCUUCUUGAGUGCAGUUGAGGCAGGCGGAAUUCGUGGUGUAGCGGUGAAAUGCUUAGAUAUCACGAAGAACCCCGAUUGCGAAGGCAGCUUGCUAAACUGUAACUGACGUUCAUGCUCGAAAGUGUGGGUAUCAAACAGG
rnacentral:rRNA from 1 species